UAGACGGAUGCUCGCUGGUUUAAGUGUUUAACUGUUAAUUAAAAGUUUGUAGGAUCGAGGCCUACUCGUCUAG
ensembl:Mt_tRNA